GUCUGACCAGACAUAGAGGGAACGAACAAGAGUGCUGCAAAUUGAAGCCGGAGGAAACGAAGUUGAUCGAAGUGGAAAAAGACGAUAUAUAAAAAGGUGUGGGACAUUCCAAAUGUUCCAAAAGUGAGCACUCCACGAAUGGACAACAGUUUGCAGGACCUCUCAGGCACCCACAACCAGCGUCUGAUCGGGAUGGAGCACCAACCCCAUUCCAGGAAGAGGUCCAGUCUGCCCCGGGUCAGAACCACUUCUAUAGCAACUACACAACUGUGUAUGCACUUAUCAUUAUUGAUAGCCAGUCUGAGCCAGAAGACACAAUGGAGCAAAGGUAUUAAUUGUUACUAUUACCACUUAAUUUUUCUAUUCUAUUCUGUAAAUCUUAUUACUAGCUUCAUCAUUUAAUAUUACAAUACAUCACUUUGUCUUUCC